UGGGGAAUAUUGGACAAUGGAGGAAACUCUGAUCCAGCAAUUCUGUGUGUGUGAAGAAGGUUUUAGGACUGUAAAACACUUUUAGUAGGGAAGAAAAAAAUGACGGUACCUACAGAAGAAGCAACGGCUAAAUACGUGCCAGCAGCCGCGGUAAUACGUAUGUUGCGAGCGUUAUCCGGAAUUAUUGGGCUUAAAGGGCAUCUAGGCGGUAAGACAAGUUGAAGGUGAAAACCUGUGGCUCAACCAUAGGCUUGCCUACAAAACUGUUGAACUAGAGUACUGGAAAGGUGGGUGGAACUACACGAGUAGAGGUGAAAUUCGUAGAUAUGUGUAGGAAUGCCGAUGAUGAAGAUAACUCACUGGACAGAAACUGACGCUGAAGUGCGAAAGCUAGGGGUGCAAACAGG
rnacentral:rRNA from 1 species